ensembl:snoRNA
AGCCACUGAUGACAAACUAAAUAACUUUUCUGACACCUCGUAUGAGAGCAAAGCUCCUGAUUCUAACGCUACUCUGAGGCUC